rnacentral:rRNA from 1 species
CAGGCUUAACACAUGCAAGUCGAGGGGCAGCAUUUUAGUUUGCUUGCAAACUGAAGAUGGCGACCGGCGCACGGGUGAGUAACACGUAUCCAACCUGCCGAUAACUCCGGAAUAGCCUUUCGAAAGAAAGAUUAAUACCGGAUAGCAUACGAAUAUCGCAUGAUAUUUUUAUUAAAGAAUUUCGGUUAUCGAUGGGGAUGCGUUCCAUUAGUUUGUUGGCGGGGUAACGGCCCACCAAGACUACGAUGGAUAGGGGUUCUGAGAGGAAGGUCCCCCACAUUGGAACUGAGACACGGUCCAAACUCCUACGGGAGGCAGCAGUGAGGAAUAUUGGUCAAUGGGCGAGAGCCUGAACCAGCCAAGUAGCGUGAAGGAUGAAGGCUCUAUGGGUCGUAAACUUCUUUUAUAUGGGAAUAAAGUUUUCCACGUGUGGAAUUUUGUAUGUACCAUAUGAAUAAGGAUCGGCUAACUCCGUGCCAGCAGCCGCGGUAAUACGGAGGAUCCGAGCGUUAUCCGGAUUUAUUGGGUUUAAAGGGAGCGUAGGUGGAUUGUUAAGUCAGUUGUGAAAGUUUGCGGCUCAACCGUAAAAUUGCAGUUGAAACUGGCAGUCUUGAGUACAGUAGAGGUGGGCGGAAUUCGUGGUGUAGCGGUGAAAUGCUUAGAUAUCACGAAGAACUCCGAUUGCGAAGGCAGCUCACUAGACUGUCACUGACACUGAUGCUCGAAAGUGUGGGUAUCAAACAGGAUUAGAUACCCUGGUAGUCCACACAGUAAACGAUGAAUACUCGCUGUUUGCGAUAUACAGUAAGCGGCCAAGCGAAAGCAUUAAGUAUUCCACCUGGGGAGUACGCCGGCAACGGUGAAACUCAAAGGAAUUGACGGGGGCCCGCACAAGCGGAGGAACAUGUGGUUUAAUUCGAUGAUACGCGAGGAACCUUACCCGGGCUUAAAUUGCAACAGAAUAUAUUGGAAACAGUAUAGCCGUAAGGCUGUUGUGAAGGUGCUGCAUGGUUGUCGUCAGCUCGUGCCGUGAGGUGUCGGCUUAAGUGCCAUAACGAGCGCAACCCUUAUCUUUAGUUACUAACAGGUUAUGCUGAGGACUCUAGAGAGACUGCCGUCGUAAGAUGUGAGGAAGGUGGGGAUGACGUCAAAUCAGCACGGCCCUUACGUCCGGGGCUACACACGUGUUACAAUGGGGGGUACAGAAGGCGGCUACCUGGUGACAGGAUGCUAAUCCCAAAAACCUCUCUCAGUUCGGAUCGAAGUCUGCAACCCGACUUCGUGAAGCUGGAUUCGCUAGUAAUCGCGCAUCAGCCAUGGCGCGGUGAAUACGUUCCCGGGCCUUGUACACACCGCCCGUCAAGCCAUGAAAGCCGGGGGUACCUGAAGUACGUAACCGCAAGGAGCGUCCUAGGGUAAAACUGGUAAUU